rnacentral:lncRNA from 1 species
UAGAUACUACUUCCAAUCCAUAGUUCAUGCUUGCAACAAUGGAUACUUUAUGUCAGUGUCUUUGAACCAUCUCAACUCUUUUCAGGGAGAGCAUGACAAAGGAAAUGUUGUCGGACUAAAUCAUCACACUGGAGAACCUAUAGCUCCACAAAUGGAGGGUAUAUUUGACAACUAUUCUGUGAAGCGUCAGAUUGUUAAUUCUGGGUAUGUGAGAACUUUUCAUUCUUUUUUUGUUUGCCGUGCUACAUGUGCAUGUGUUUUAUGCACGCUUAAAUAGCAUCAACUCUGCUGGGAAGUCCUUUGCAGUGACCAUUGAUCAUUUCCUGGAGUUUGAUUUCUUGUUCUUCGAUAUCCCUUAGCCUGUGAAAUGCCACAAAAGGGAGAAAUUCUACCUUUUAUUCUUCUGUAUGUGUCUACUUACUAUACUCUUUUCUUCUUUACAGGCCUGUUAUAGCAUCUCAGCUGUUACUUGUUGAUGAAGUAAUUCGUGCUGGACGAAACAUGAGGAAACCAAAUUAGUUUUUUAUGUCUGAAGAUGUACUUCAAAAAUUUUCCUGUAGUUUCCAUCUUCGUACUAGGGGGGAAAUUGAAGAAAAAACAAACAAAGGUGAGGGCGGGGAUGAAAAAGGUGUGGAGAGAGUAGUGUUCAUCGGUCGAUUUGUACGGUUUCUAAACAUUUCUGUUUAGUGUUUUUGGUUUUUUGGCUUUUAAAAAUGUUAUACCAGUACCAUACCGAAAGUAAAUUUGAUAUGGUUCGGUAUUUUGCGAUUCGAUGACUUCGGUAUUACCUUUUAAGUUAUAUUCUAUAAACAAAAUUUAAAAUUGACGAUUAAACUUGUUUUACACGAAACUGAUUUUUCAGGUUUGAUGAUUUAAUGAAGCAUAAAAGAAAAUAACUACUCCAUAACAGAACAAACUAAAUAAAAACGUUAAUGAUGUUUCAUUUUAAAACAAGAGUUUCUUUGUUUGCUCGAGAAAAUAAGAUUUAACGUAAGACACAAUAUUAUUGAAGCCAAAUGUCUUGAACUAUAAAAGUUUAAAAUGAUUAUGUUUGUACAUCCAAAAAAUUUGUAUCUAGGAAAUUUUACUUGUCAUGUUUAGUGCUAAGGAAACUGCACAAUAUCUAAUGGUUAUAGCAAAUUCUUGGAUUAAGGGUUAACACAAUUUUAUGAACAGAGAAGGCUUGGAUCACAGAGUGUGUUUAUGCAGCGGUAUAGAAUUGAUAUUUGAAGUUCCAAACAAGGUCAGUUCAAGCCUAAAAUUACUAAAGCAGUUAAGGCUCAAAACUGUAAAAAUUGCACGGACCCUAUUUGGUCGUCGCCAUUUAAUCUAUACCUAUUUUUUUAAAAACUUUUAACUUGUACCCACUUUUUAAAUAAUUUCAGCCCCUUUUUCCUCCUUGCUUUGCAACUCUCUCGAAUCAUAUACAUGAGAAUCUCAGCUAAGAACCUUAGGACGUUCUUCCUAUACAGUGAUACUAUACAAACGAACACUUUCUUCCUGGUCUCUCAAUUACUAACAAAGGAAUUGACAGAUUCAAAUAAAAAUUAAAGAAAUGUUAGAUUAAUGUAGGAUUUGUGUCUGUAUCAUUGCCCAAGGGGCUUCUUUAUCUUCAUAUAUAUUCAAGGAUACAUAUUAUCCAUAGAGAUCUGGAGGUGAAUAACAAUAUUCUUCUAGAAGGUAAUGAACCUCAAACAUCAUUUUGAAUUGUCGCAUGUUUUUGGUGGCAAAGAUUCUGAAGUUAAGACAAAUCGAGUUGUUAGAAGUUAGCAAUCAUGCAUGCAACCUCUCUGAGCACAAAUAGUUCUUCCUGCACAAAUACUUCAGCUCUAGAGCUGAAGUUUGCCAGUUACAAACAAAAAUUUCAGCUCAAGAGCUGAACUUCAGGCCCAGCUACUAAAAUGCUGAAGUUUUGCGAAAAAGCGGGUACGCUUGUAAUUUUUUUUGCAAAGCAGAUACACGUUAAAACGUGACACAAAAAGCAGGUAUAGAUGCAAAUGCCUCCUCAAAACUUGAUCGUCCAAGUGUAUCAAGUCAUUUUAUAUACUUGAACUAUUCAAACGUAUGAAAUUAUUUAUAUUUAAUUUUAUAGUUUAAAUUAAGAUCACGAGAUGAUAACAAUAAUAACAAACUCAAUAUUACCACAUGUGAGGUCUGGAUUGUGAGAUGAUAAAGAUUUGGUAAAAACAAGUAUGAAGCUAUACUUUUUUUUUAAUUAAUUCAAAAGAAAUUUGGACUAUUCAAAAUGUAUGAAAUUAUUAAACAUUUGACAUAGUGGUGAAAAGUAAAAUUAUUAGGUGAUAAAUUUUUUUUAAAAAUAUUAUGUAAAAUGGCAAAAUGACUUGAACAGGUUAAACAAGUUGAGAUAAAAACAUAUACGAAUAUUAUUAACCUGUGGCUCUAGUUUUCCUUUCUUGUUUUGUAAUACUAUCACAUCAAUCUUCCACUACUACAACUCAAGCUCUUAAGCCAGUAUGGAGACACCUCACUUAUUUAGAUCAUUGUUGUCGGGUGACAUUCACUCAUAUGGUAACCAGUAAUUACAAUAUAUGUAAGAGAUUUUG